rnacentral:rRNA from 1 species
UGCCAGCAGCCGCGGUAAUACGGAGGGGGCUAGCAUUGUUCGGAAUUACUGGGCGUAAAGCGCACGUAGGCGGAUUAACAAGUUGGGGGUGAAAGCCCGGAGCUCAACUCCGGAACUGCCUCCAAAACUGUUUCUCUAGAGUCCGGAAGAGGUGAGUGGAAUUCCUAGUGUAGAGGUGGAAUUCGUAGAUAUUAGGAAGAACACCAGUGGCGAAGGCGGCUCACUGGUCCGGUACUGACGCUGAGGUGCGAAAGUGUGGGGAGCAAACAGGAUUAGAUA